UCCUUAGUGGCUCAGAUGGUAAAGCGUCUGCCUACAAUGCAGGAAUCUGGGUUUGAUUCCUGGGUCAGGAG
rnacentral:tRNA from 1 species